GGCCGCGGAGACCCGGUGCUCUCGGCUCAGUCAUCUUGGCUGCGGUUAGGGCGAUUGGCGGUUGAAGAGGGCGGGAGAUAGAGAGGAAAAUGCAACUAAACUAAUCAGUAAAGAAAUCGGGAAUGCUGCUCAAGGUGUUCGGCAUUUUCUCCCCCAUUUUCCCCUCUCAUUUCCCAUUAGACAAGGGUCUGAAAUGUGAGCAGUGGUGAACAAUUCCACUUUCGUUUUCUUUCAUCAGAAAUUGCUGACAGUUGCAUUUCUUUCAAAAUACGGAGUGAUCUUGGGAUUGUAAAUAUUUGAUUCUGUUAGCAAGACAUCGUUAUAUAUGAAGUAAAUUAGUGAUUGCAUUCCGUAUUUCUUUUCCUAA